UGCUUUUUACUGAUAGUAAACUGCUAUUUUUUUUUAUAAAAUCUGAUAAUGCUUUUGUUAUUUUAAAAUAGUAAGUGAUAAAUAGCAGCUAUUAAAAGCAUAAUUUCUCAUCAAGACUUUUUUUCUUAUCAGUGAUGAUAUCGAAUCACGGCGUUUUUGGUUUGUUUAUAUUUUUUAUAUGAUUACAUUGAUCAGAUAGAAAGUGCACGUGCACCCUAUUAUUUUAAUCUAAUCUAUAAUUAAACUAACCUAAACUGUGCAAAUACCGUUUUAAAUAUUAUAAGCGCCGGGAAUGGUGGACAUUUUUAUGCAUCCAUCGUGAAAGUUAUUUAGUAAUUAUCGUUACAAUUUAUUAGAGUUCUGAAUAAACAAGUGGUAAUAUUUGAUUUAAUUUAAUUAGAUAUUUACAAUCAUGUGCAGUGAAAUGCAUUAAAUGUUUAAUUCAUUUUAAAAAUCCAGUUUGUUAGUAUUCGGACUAAAUUAUAAUAAGUUAUUUUUUCUGCAGAUGACGCUAGUGCCACACACAUAAAUAAAUAGAGGUAUAAAAAAGUCCCUAAAGAAAAGUAUAAAUUACCAUAAUACUUAUUUAGAAAGAAAUAUUAAAUAUAAUUAUGAAAAAAACAAAAUCUGAAAAUCGCAAGAAUAAAU